AUGAACGCUAGCGGCAGGCUUAACACAUGCAAGUCGAGGGGCAGCAUAAUGGAUAGCAAUAUCUAUGGUGGCGACCGGCGCACGGGUGCGUAACGCGUAUGCAACCUACCUUUAACAGGGGGAUAACACUGAGAAAUUGGUACUAAUACCCCAUAAUAUCAUAGAAGGCAUCUUUUAUGGUUGAAAAUUCCGAUGGUUAGAGAUGGGCAUGCGUUGUAUUAGCUAGUUGGUGGGGUAACGGCUCACCAAGGCGACGAUACAUAGGGGGACUGAGAGGUUAACCCCCCACACUGGUACUGAGACACGGACCAGACUCCUACGGGAGGCAGCAGUGAGGAAUAUUGGUCAAUGGACGCAAGUCUGAACCAGCCAUGCCGCGUGCAGGAUGACGGCUCUAUGAGUUGUAAACUGCUUUUGUACGAGGGUAAACGCAGAUACGUGUAUCUGUCUGAAAGUAUCGUACGAAUAAGGAUCGGCUAACUCCGUGCCAGCAGCCGCGGUAAUACGGAGGAUUCAAGCGUUAUCCGGAUUUAUUGGGUUUAAAGGGUGCGUAGGCGGUUUGAUAAGUUAGAGGUGAAAUUUCGGGGCUCAACCCUGAACGUGCCUCUAAUACUGUUGAGCUAGAGAGUAGUUGCGGUAGGCGGAAUGUAUGGUGUAGCGGUGAAAUGCUUAGAGAUCAUACAGAACACCGAUUGCGAAGGCAGCUUACCAAACUAUAUCUGACGUUGAGGCACGAAAGCGUGGGGAGCAAACAGGAUUAGAUACCCUGGUAGUCCACGCAGUAAACGAUGAUAACUCGUUGUCGGCGAUACACAGUCGGUGACUAAGCGAAAGCGAUAAGUUAUCCACCUGGGGAGUACGUUCGCAAGAAUGAAACUCAAAGGAAUUGACGGGGGCCCGCACAAGCAGUGGAGUAUGUGGUUUAAUUCGAAGCAACGCGAAGAACCUUACCAGGGCUUGACAUAUACAGGAAUAAUUAAGAGAUUAAUUAGUUCUUCGGAACUUGUAUACAGGUGGUGCAUGGUUGUCGUCAGCUCGUGUCGUGAGAUGUUGGGUUAAGUCCCGCAACGAGCGCAACCCCUGUUCUUAGUUGCCAGCACAUAAUGGUGGGAACUCUAAGAAGACUGCCGGUGACAAAUUGGAGGAAGGUGGGGAUGACGUCAAAUCAGCACGGCCCUUACGUCCGGGGCUACACACGUGUUACAAUGGUAGGUACAGAGGGCAGCUACCCAGCGAUGGGAUGCGAAUCUCGAAAGCCUAUCUCAGUUCGGAUUGGAGGCUGAAACCCGCCUCCAUGAAGUUGGAUUCGCUAGUAAUCGCGCAUCAGCCAUGGCGCGGUGAAUACGUUCCCGGGCCUUGUACACACCGCCCGUCAAGCCAUGGGAGCCGGGGGUGCCUGAAGUUCGUGACCGCAAGGAGCGACCUAGGGCAAAACUGGUGACUGGGGCU
rnacentral:rRNA from 1 species